UACGGGGGGGGCAAGCGUUGUUCGGAAUUACUGGGCGUAAAGGGCUCGUAGGCGGCCAACUAAGUCGGACGUGAAAUCCCCAGGCUCAACCUGGGAACUGCGUCCGAUACUGGAUGGCUUGAAUUCGGGAGAGGGAUGCAGAAUUCCAGGUGUAGCGGUGAAAUGCGUAGAUAUCUGGAGGAACACCGGUGGCGAAGGCGGCGUCCUGGACCAACACUGACGCUGAUGAGCGAAAGCCAGGGGAGCAAACGGG
rnacentral:rRNA from 1 species